UAAGGAAUAUUGGUCAAUGGACGCAAGUCUGAACCAGCCAUGCCGCGUGAAGGAUGAAGGUCCUCUGGAUUGUAGACUUCUUUUAUCUGGGACGAAAACGGGAUUUUUAUCUCAAUUGACGGUACCAGAGGAAUAAGCACCGGCUAACUCCGUGCCAGCAGCCGCGGUAAUACGGAGGGUGCGAGCGUUAUCCGGAUUUACUGGGUUUAAAGGGAGCGUAGGUGGGCUUAUAAGUCAGUGGUGAAAUCUCCGAGCUUAACUUGGAAACUGCCGUUGAUACUAUAGGUCUUGAAUUAUCUGGAGGUCAGCGGAAUAUGCCAUGUAGCGGUGAAAUGCUUAGAUAUGACAUAGAACACCAAUUGCGAAGGCAGCUUACUACAUAUAAAUUGACGCUGAGGCACGAAAGCGUGGGGAUCAAACA
rnacentral:rRNA from 1 species